UACGGAGGGUGCAAGCGUUAUCCGGAUUCACUGGGUUUAAAGGGUGCGUAGGUGGGUAGGUAAGUCAGUGGUGAAAUCCCCCGAGCUUAACUUGGGAACUGCCGUUGAUACUAUCUAUCUUGAAUAUCAGUAGGUAAGCGGAAUAUGUCAUGUAGCGGUGAAAUGCUUAGAUAUGACAUAGAACACCAAUUGCGAAGGCAGCUUACUUCAAGAUUAUUGACACUGAGGCACGAAAGCGUGGGGAUCAAACAGG
rnacentral:rRNA from 1 species